UACUUGAGCCCUAUAAUUUGGAUUGGCCCAAAUUAGCUUCGCUUCUGUUUCUCACUUUCUCUGUCUCAAAGAAGGCAGAAGGGCACUCUCUCUUCAUUUUGAUCGAUCAGGCUGAAGCCCUUGCACUCCGUAGUUCUGAGUAGAUUCAAAAGUAAGAGAUGAGGAAAGGUAUACAUCCUCAAUUGCAAUGGAUAUCCUAUGUGACACAGAGUGGGAGAUUGAUUAAUCUUAUGAUGACAAAAAUACACAACACUGGCAAAGUUUACCAUUUCAGAGCUAGACGACAGAGGGCCGAAAAUGAAGGUCAAAUUGCCAAGUAUAAUCGUCGUUUCGGGCAGAAAGCUCAAGAGGAGAGUCAGCCGCCAGAAGCAAAAAAAUAGAUGAACUCUUUUUGAAGUCGAGCUGAAUGCAUCUCCCUAACGCGUAGGGUUCAAACCAUGUGUUGCCAUGAGGUGAGAACAUGUUCUCAUGCUCUGCAUUUAGAUUGACAUCCCUUUUACCAGUAGAAUUCAACUUAUUGAUUGUUCACCAAAAAUAAUAACGUAUUUGUUUAAGUUCAAGCUUUUAAGGCAUUUUGAAUUAGUGAUUGAAUCUGCAAGUGUUGUAGUCAUUUCACUUCCAAGGUUAUACAGUAUAUAUCUUGCUGUC